GCGGCGUGCCUAACACAUGCAAGUCGAACGGAGAUUUAACGCUGAUGAAGCUUCGGCAGAAUCUUGUUAAAUCUUAGUGGCGGACGGGUGAGUAACGCGUGGGCAACCUGCCUCAUACUGGGGGGAUAACAGCUGGAAACGGCUGUUAAUACCGCAUAAGCGCACAGCAUCGCAUGAUGCAGUGUGAAAAACUCCGGUGGUAUGAGAUGGGCCCGCGUCAGAUUAGCCAGUUGGCAGGGUAACGGCCUACCAAAGCGACGAUCUGUAGCCGGCCUGAGAGGGCGGACGGCCACAUUGGGACUGAGACACGGCCCAAACUCCUACGGGAGGCAGCAGUGGGGGAUAUUGCACAAUGGAGGAAACUCUGAUGCAGCGACGCCGCGUGAGUGAAGAAGUAUUUCGGUAUGUAAAGCUCUAUCAGCAGGGAAGAAAGGCUCAAAAGAGAGAUGACGGUACCUGACUAAGAAGCCCCGGCUAACUACGUGCC
rnacentral:rRNA from 1 species